CCUGGCUCAGGAUGAACGCUAGCUACAGGCUUAACACAUGCAAGUCGAGGGGCAGCAUGGUCUUAGCUUGCUAAGGCCGAUGGCGACCGGCGCACGGGUGAGUAACACGUAUCCAACCUGCCGUCUACUCUUGGACAGCCUUCUGAAAGGAAGAUUAAUACAAGAUGGCAUCAUGAGUCCGCAUGUUCACAUGAUUAAAGGUAUUCCGGUAGACGAUGGGGAUGCGUUCCAUUAGAUAGUAGGCGGGGUAACGGCCCACCUAGUCUUCGAUGGAUAGGGGUUCUGAGAGGAAGGUCCCCCACAUUGGAACUGAGACACGGUCCAAACUCCUACGGGAGGCAGCAGUGAGGAAUAUUGGUCAAUGGGCGAGAGCCUGAACCAGCCAAGUAGCGUGAAGGAUGACUGCCCUAUGGGUUGUAAACUUCUUUUAUAAAGGAAUAAAGUCGGGUAUGGAUACCCGUUUGCAUGUACUUUAUGAAUAAGGAUCGGCUAACUCCGUGCCAGCAGCCGCGGUAAUACGGAGGAUCCGAGCGUUAUCCGGAUUUAUUGGGUUUAAAGGGAGCGUAGAUGGAUGUUUAAGUCAGUUGUGAAAGUUUGCGGCUCAACCGUAAAAUUGCAGUUGAUACUGGAUAUCUUGAGUGCAGUUGAGGCAGGCGGAAUUCGUGGUGUAGCGGUGAAAUGCUUAGAUAUCACGAAGAACUCCGAUUGCGAAGGCAGCCUGCUAAGCUGCAACUGACAUUGAGGCUCGAAAGUGUGGGUAUCAAACAGGAUUAGAUACCCUGGUAGUCCACACGGUAAACGAUGAAUACUCGCUGUUUGCGAUAUACAGCAAGCGGCCAAGCGAAAGCGUUAAGUAUUCCACCUGGGGAGUACGCCGGCAACGGUGAAACUCAAAGGAAUUGACGGGGGCCCGCACAAGCGGAGGAACAUGUGGUUUAAUUCGAUGAUACGCGAGGAACCUUACCCGGGCUUAAAUUGCAGAUGAAUUACGGUGAAAGCCGUAAGCCGCAAGGCAUCUGUGAAGGUGCUGCAUGGUUGUCGUCAGCUCGUGCCGUGAGGUGUCGGCUUAAGUGCCAUAACGAGCGCAACCCUUGUUGUCAGUUACUAACAGGUUCCGCUGAGGACUCUGACAAGACUGCCAUCGUAAGAUGUGAGGAAGGUGGGGAUGACGUCAAAUCAGCACGGCCCUUACGUCCGGGGCUACACACGUGUUACAAUGGGGGGUACAGAGGGCCGCUACCACGCGAGUGGAUGCCAAUCCCAAAAACCUCUCUCAGUUCGGACUGGAGUCUGCAACCCGACUCCACGAAGCUGGAUUCGAUAGUAAUCGCGCAUCAGCCACGGCGCGGUGAAUACCCCAACGGGCCUUGUACACACCGCCC
rnacentral:rRNA from 1 species